GGAUACCUCACCAUACCAGGAACUUGCUCCUGGGACUUUUGGAAGUGAGAGACCUCAUCCUGGUCCAUGGAAAAAUUGUCUUCUAUGAAACUGGUACCUGGUGCCAAAAAGAUUGGGGAUGGCUGAUGUAUACCAGAUGUCUCAUCAUAUGCAGCUGCAGGAAGCCAACUGAUACUUCCAGCAUGUUGUGUUGACAUCUUAGCCACAGCUGUACUAUACAGAGUUCCUUCCUGCUCUGGGUGCUGUUAUAUGAGAGUGUGCUGCUGCAGCCAGAUUGUGACCAGAAGAGGUAGUUCGGGAAAACUCCAGAGAUGGGGACCUGGUACCUUGCACCUACUAUGGUUGUCAUACCAUGGAACCAAUUCUGACACUCUCUACCUCAAGACUUCUUAUCAAGGGGGGCAA